UACAGAGGGUGCAAGCGUGGUUCGGAAUUAUUGGGCGUAAAGCGCGUGUAGGCGGCAUGGCAAGUCGGGUGUGAAAGCCCUCAGCUUAACUGAGGAAGUGCGCCCGAAACUGCCGUGCUUGAGUGCCGGAGAGGGUGGCGGAAUUCCCCAAGUAGAGGUGAAAUUCGUAGAUAUGGGGAGGAACACCGGUGGCGAAGGCGGCCACCUGGACGGUAACUGACGCUGAGACGCGA
rnacentral:rRNA from 1 species